GAGCCUAUGGGACGCAGCAGUAGGGAAUUUUCGUCAAUGGGUGCAAGCCUGAACGAGCAAUGCCGCGUGAACGAGGAAGGUCUUCGGAUCGUAAAGUUCUGUUGAAGGGGAAAAAGAGCGGAGAGAGGAAAUGAACUCCGAUUGAUAUUACCCUUCGAGGAAGUCACGGCUAACUACGUGCCAGCAGCCGCGGUAAUACGUAGGUGGCGAGCGUUAUCCGGAAUGAUUGGGCGUAAAGGGGGCGUAGGCGGCCUGCUAAGUCUGGAGUGAAAGGUACCGGCUCAACCGGUACAGGCUCUGGAAAC
rnacentral:rRNA from 1 species